GUCAGUAGGUUUUUCCUGUACAUUAGCAGGUGCAGUACAAGCUUUCAUCUGUCUGACACGACGUAACUGUAUCGUCAGUGUUGUCUUAUACAUUAAAGUGGAACAAGUACGCUCAAAACCACUUAACAGGAAGUCCUUCAGCGCAGAGUAACUGAGUCUGUUUUUACCAGCCCCUCUUUCCUUCAGUGCUUCCUGAUUAAAAACAUGCAUUACGUUAUCGAAACAGAAAGUAUAUUUCUGUUACGUCGCCAUUUUGAGCGAAGCAGGGCAGAUGCAGUCGGGUACAAGUAGAGAGAGAAUAAACUUACUCCUGCAUUAAAAACACACUGAAGUGUGGUAAUUGCGGAAGGUUCUUGGGGGAGAGAGCAAGAGGCUUUAUCAGAAUUCAGACUUCAGACCACUGGGUGUAGAGUCUGAUAGCCUGAAAACAUUUGAGAGUAAAUUGUAGCAGCAGAAGGACUUCAGGGGAAACUUCACACCAGCCUAGGGUCAUGAUGGACAUAUCUGGGUCAUCAGUACCCAGAGGUGGAGCCUUGGCCACUGAUCCCAGGGUCAAGCUGGACAGGCCAGGAUCACCAGUGCCCAGCUGUGUGUCCAUAAAGA